GUUUGUGUCUCAUUUCUGGAAUUAUUUGGGAAGAACCUUUAGUUGUUCUGUUAUAUGAAGUGAUUCAUCUGUCUACAGUUGUAGCUUUCCUUACCCAUACAUUUAUCUUUAUACCUGUUGGAAAGAUCUUCUGCGCAAUAUGUGUUUCAUCAUGUUUUGUACUUUACUGUCUGUACAAUGUUAAUGGGUAUUACAACGAACUGAAGGUAAAGAAAAAGUAUUUAAAAGAAAGUAUUUAUUUCAAUGAAGAUAUCUACUUCCGUAAUCAAAAUGUACAAUAAAGUUUUAAGCAUACAUACAAUAAAUAUAAAAUAUAUUACUAAUUCUAUUUUUUUUUCAAUUCUUAAACAUCACAAUUUUAGCAGGGAAAUUCGCUUCACAAAGACCUUAAAGUUGUUUGGUAAAUGUCAAAUCCACAAAAAAUGUAUUUUUCCUUCAUCGUUGAUUUUUUUAUUUCAUUAUAUAAAUGCAAAAUGAUUUUUUCAAUAUUGAACCUGAUUAUGUAUUGGAAAAUAGAGGAAAGAAAUGUUUCUUGUAUGUUCAGUUACAAUAGAAGAUUGAAAUAUCUUUAUUUCACUACCACACCCUAUAUAUUUUUCAAUGUUUCAAAUGUUUUGUUACCAUAUAUUGGGUAUCUUACACCAUAUUAUUAUGUAUCCUUAUAAAUAAAACAAAUGUUUCGAAUUAUUUCAAUAUUAUGUUUUUCGAAAACACUUUUAACAAUUUUAAUUUAAUGAGUAUCUACAUUUUUUGUGACUUCUUUAUUCCGCUAGCUACAACACUAAAUAAGGAGCAAAAGCUCACGUUUAUUAUAAAAAGUUUAAUCAGUUCACAACUUGACAUAUACUUAUUAGCUUACCUCAAGAGUUUUUGUUUUUGCGGUGAUUUCACUUUUAUUCGUUUAAGAAACGGUAUUAUGAUACAUUUUUUAUUAAUGUGUUCGAAAGCUUAGCAUGCCAAUUAAAACCAUACUUUAUACGAAGGGUGUUUAUAUGAGAAGGUACGAAAAGACACUGUGGGUAUAAUGUAAGUCUUUAUUCAAAAGUAAUUACAUAAGCAUCUUACUGUUUAACGAGUCGAAGGAUGCCCUUAUUCCAAAACUCCUGUGGCUGUGACAAUAACCACUCUUGUACUGUGUCACUCAGUUUGUCGCACAUGUUAUUUUUUAAUAAAGAUGGAAGUUACAAGGCGAUAUUCGAAGUUUAAGGUUCGGUAUUUAACCUUAUCCCACUUGAACUUGGUCAUUACCCUUUGUGUGACCGUGGAGACGUGCGUACGCGCGGAAUCACUCCUUCCGUUAGCAGCCUGAGCCGUUUUAUCUUGUUAGCGUAGUCUAAGGAAUGUCUCACUGUUAAUGGCUUUUCCGUGGCAUAGUCGAGGCAUUCGACUAGUAUCGCACCUGGGACAUUAUAAAAGACGAUGGGAAUCACUACCUGCUUCUGCGUCAGACAUGCGCAUAACCAGGCCAGACAACUACAUUUGCGUCCCUAUAUGUCUCACUACUACAUUCAAAGCCUCAUAUUCAAAUUAUAACCGAUUUGAUUAUUUUUUCUUUUUCAUUUGAACAUUCUCAUAUCUACCAGAGCCACUCUGUAUAUUAUAACUAGAAGCUGGCAAUACAGGCAUACUGGCAAAGAUUAAUAGGUUAUUGAUGAAACAUAUAUACCAUUUUAUAACAUUUCUACUUGCCAAUAGAGCCUUAUGUGGAUUCACGGAGAUUAACCAACAUCAACAAUGGGGAAAAAGGUCUGUCAAGAAAGUUUGCACGCAAUUCUCUUUCAUACUAGAGGAUUAGUGAAAUCAAUUGAGCUUAAAGAUCAAUGUACAGUUACAGCGAACUAGUACACCACAAAAUGUUCACCUGCAGUUCUUGAGUCCGUCAAUAAUCAAGUUUUAAUGUUGCAGCAGACCGUUGAAUUUUUACGUCAAAAUAAUGUAACAGUAAUUGAAUUUUCACCUUAUUCGCCCGAUUUGGCCAUGUGUUAUUUCUGCUUAUUCUUCAACCUAAAGAAAUAUUUACGUUGUCGACGUUUCACGACGGAGGAUGAGGUAGAUGAAACAAUUCAGCAUUUUUUUUAAAAGUUCUCCGACAGAUGACUGGCUUUAAGCUUUUAAGUUUCAGUAGCUUCGUUUAUAAAGUGCAUUGAUGUAUGUGGUGAUUAAUUUCAACAUAAAUAAAAUCAUUUUCCUAAAACGACUUGCAGCUUUCUUGUGUCUCAAAAUAUGUAGCGUCACUCGUAUAUUGGUAUUUAAUUUUUAGGAUUAUUAUAGAUUUAACGUAUUAUCCGCUAAAAAGCAAUAAGUGUAACAAGAUACAUAUAAAACAGCAAUGGAAUUUGGAUGACUAUAAUAUGAGCAAGUAAUUAACGUUAAAUUUAAAACAUAGUUCUUAAAUUCUACUCGGUAAGAAAAUUUACACAAAAACAUCAACUAAUCUAGGCACAUUCAUUAUUGCUCUUCACUUGAAAACGUAUAAUGCCAUAUUUCUUUAAAACUAUUGUUAAUAAGUUUAGUCACUCAUUUUAUUUUAUUGUGAUUAUUAUAUAUUAACAAUUUCGAAAGAUUUGUUUUUGUAAUAUAUAAUAACGCAAUUUCUAAUCGAAACAACAGAAUGUAAAACAACUUCAAAGUGUAAUGUUAACUUAAAUUUGUUUACAUGGAGUACCGGAAUCUGUAACAAGUCAACACUUAAACGAUUUAGCUGUUCUAUUUCAAUAUUGAUUAGUAUUAUUUUUGAAAUUUUUGUGUAGAAGACUCAACGUGAACCUUUCAAUUUGAAUAAUAACACUAAAAAUUCGCAGUUUUGGAAUGGAAACGUUAUUAUAUCAGAAAAUUCAAGAGCAACGUUGGUAUUACUAUAGAAAAAAUUCAACAGCUUUUUAGCGAUUAUCAAAAAAUGAACUUUUGUAAAAAUUUUCGGUUUGGUUGGAAAAUUGAAAAAAAAUUAUUUUUGUGAAAUUUUGCACAAAGGGGUUUAUUGAUAAGAGUAUUUUGGGAAAGAUAUAGGUUGUGAAAAAAAUUAUGAAUGGGAAACUCAUGAAAACUGGAUUUUCGGAAAACCAUUAAUUUGAAAAGUAAUAUUGCUCUUAAACCUUGAAAGGAAAACACAUGAUACCUUUCCACAUACUUUCACUAUAAACGCAUAUUAUCAAUUUUUUGGCAAAAAUCUGCAACAUGUUGAAAAAUAUUAAACAUACUCGAAUAAAAACUUCCGAGAUAUUGACUAUUUGUUAGCAUCCAUCAAUAAACAAGACGUGUACCUAAUUACCAGCUUAUGUUUGAUUCACACUAUAACCAACUAUAACACUAUAAAAAUUCAUAGUAUCUACAGUUGUGGAAUGGACACGUUGUAAUAUAAAAAAAUCCAAAAAAGAUUAUUGGUACUAUCAUAGACAAAAUACAACAGCUUUCUCGUUAUUAUACAAAUCUAGUUAGAAAACAUUGAAUUUGAAAUUUUGAAACAAAAUUUCCCUGAUAUUGAUAAAACCUUGUUACAUGCAGUAAAAUAGUAAUAUAGGAUGGGCCAUGAAUUUUUGCACUUUUAUAACUGAAGCCGCGAAACCGACUUCUUGGAAACGUAGUCACAAUGGAUCACUUCACGAGAAAACAACGCGCGUUCUGUGUGAAACAAUUUUACAAAAAGAAUGAUUCUUAUGUCAUUACUCGCCAUUUAGUUCGUUCCUAUGACCAAUUAUACAAUAUUUAUCAAUAUCCAAACGUAAAUUUUAUUAAGUCAUUGGCUUCAAACAUUUGAAGCAAACGACACGAAUAUUAAUUUGAAAUUGCAAUUUCCACUUUUACUUAAAUGGACACGUCAACAAAAAAAUUGCAGAUUUUGCAUUAAAACACCAAAAACAUUUACAUCCCUCAAAAGUGACGGUUUGGGAGGCAAUAUCUUCAAGGGGCAUAGUUGGAUCGUCAAUGCGGCGAUUUAGUAACUGUUAACUCUGGAGAAUGUGAAUUAUGGCGGGUAGAGGUAAGGAGAACCAUCUCUGUGCUACAGAAAGUGUCCAUCAAAUUCUUGACGUUAUGGAGGCGCUACUAUCGCAUGAGUGUAAAUUUUAAAUAAAGCUCUAGUAAUUUAACAUUUUUUAACACUGCAUAUUCAAAUAAGACGAACUGAACGAUCAUAUUAUAUCUCGUCCGACAGGAGCGCCAUUCUGGUCAAAUUUUGAAUUAUAAUUUACCGUCUACAAGCGGACAGUUUUUAAACUUCCAUAUGAGAUGGUACUCCUUCCCUCUACCAUGGGUAACAUGGCCAAUAUUUUGAGGGAUAAUUUCGUCUAAGAAGAUAACUUCAUCUAAUUCAUAUUGCAC